AAUAUGAUCUACGAAGUGGUACAUUCUUUCGUGUGUGAGGCCAUCUCUGUCGAAUGUUAUGUGCGGCUUCCUGGGCUGGCAUAGGGUCUACUGAAAGUACCAUGGCGGCCACUGAAAUAGCCAGGCAAGCGGGAGAAGGUGCUCGGGCUGUACCUCUUGCCGGCCAUGUUGGCUUUGACAGCAUGCCUGACCAGCUGGUCAACAAGUCUGUCAACCAUGGCUUUUGCUUCAACAUCCUCUGCGUCGGGGAGACGGGUCUGGGGAAGUCUACUCUCAUGGACACCUUGUUCAACACCAAGUUCGAGGGUGAGCCGACACAGCACAACCAGCCUGGAGUCCAGCUCAAGUCCAACACCUACGAGCUCCAGGAGAGCAACGUGCGUCUCAAACUCACCAUGGUCAACACUGUGGGCUUUGGAGACCAGAUCAACAAAGAGGACAGCUACAAGUCCAUUGUGGAGUUCAUCGAUGCCCAGUUUGAGGCCUAUCUGCAGGAGGAGCUGAAGAUUAAGCGGACGCUACACAGCUACCACGACACACGCAUCCACGCCUGCCUCUACUUCAUCGCCCCCACUGGACACUCCCUCAAAUCCCUGGACCUGGUCACCAUGAAGAAACUGGACAGCAAGGUCAACAUCAUUCCCAUCAUUGCCAAGUCAGAUGCCAUCUCCAAGAGUGAGCUGACCAAGUUCAAAAUCAAGAUCACCAGUGAGCUGGUCAGCAACGGAGUCCAGAUCUACCAGUUCCCUACGGACGACGAGACGGUGGCAGAGAUCAACUCCACCAUGAACGCUCAUUUGCCCUUCGCCGUGGUAGGCAGCACCGAAGAGGUGAAGAUCGGCAACAAGAUGGUGAAGGCGCGACAGUACCCCUGGGGGACGGUGCAGGUGGAGAACGAGAACCACUGCGACUUUGUGAAGCUGCGGGAGAUGCUGAUCAGGGUGAACAUGGAGGACCUGAGGGAGCAGACACACACGCGCCACUACGAGCUCUACAGACGCUGCAAGCUGGAGGAGAUGGGCUUCAAGGACACAGACCCCGACAGCAAGCCCUUCAGUCUGCAGGAGACAUACGAGGCCAAGAGGAACGAGUUCAUGGGCGAGCUGCAGAAGAAGGAGGAGGAGAUGAGGCAGAUGUUCGUCCAGAGAGUCAAGGAGAAGGAGGCUGAGCUCAAAGAGGCAGAGAAAGAGCUGCACGAUAAGUUCGACCGCCUGAAGAAGCUCCACCAGGAUGAGAAGAAGAAGCUGGAGGACAAGAAGAAGUCCCUGGACGACGAGCUCAACAUGUUCAAGCAGAAAAAGACUGCUGCUGAGCUCCUGCUAAACCAAGCCCAGCAAGCAGGGGGCUCCACCACACUCAAGCGGGACAAGGAGAGGAAAAACUGAUGUGACCCCUGUCACCCGCCCGUUAGAAAGGAAGAAGACACUUGCACUGAGAAGUUCAGGAUUCCUGUAGAAAAGUGCACCCUCAACCAGCUGUGAAUGAGUUUUCACCCCAUCCUCCCUGCAGUGCCUCUGCCCUGCCCUCACCCUUUCCCCAUUCCAACCUCACAUAUGCCCCCUGCUCUGUGGAAGAAUCAAGCCAUUACUGUGAAUGGAAUCCUUGACUCGGAAGCAUCCUUUUUUGUGCUAAAGAUGCUUGUUUUUUGUAUGGUGUUGCGCAAGCCAUUAUUCAGCUUUUUUAUGGAAAGUAUCUUAUCCUUUAAAAAAAUUAAAGAAUCUGUGUAGCUGUUAAGCAUGAUUGAGUGUGCGUUUAACAUUAACAUGCUGUUGUCACUGGCAGGAGUUUUUAGAUGCAGAGAUUAAACACAAACUGUAGUAUGACUAAGUCAGUAGAGUGUGUUUGCCUACGUAGUUACUCAGACUGUCACACUACUCACUUAUGUCCUUUCAAAGAUUUAAUUAUGUUCUAGACAAUUAUUUUAAAGAGAAAGAACUAUGUAAUGAAAAAAUCAUCAUGUAUGAGGAUAUACAUUUACAGAAUACUCCACCCUGGAACAGAGUGGUAUUAUUCCAUUGCUAAUGUUGUUUCACUCUAGCAUGGUGCAUGUGCAAACAUUAGCUUAAUACUCUCAUCUUCUCCUGCCAUACUUGAAUCAUGGAUUGUUACGCCAUAUCUGCUUACUUGUUUUAGCCUUCACGUUUGGAAAUGUUCACAAAUAUGAUUUUAUAUAUUGUCAGUGCAACUGUGACUUUCUUUCCUAUGCACUAAAGCACAUUUGAAGCCAUCUAACCAAAUAUCAAUCACAUGGGAAUCAGUAUUGCAUUUGUAUCAGUGUUUUAAAGAAACUUUAUUUCCGAAGGUAAUAAAGGGCACAUUUUAAAUGUUUUAACUGUGAAAACUAUUAUUUUAUAUUAUAAUGGAACAAUGUAACACAGUUCUUUUAGAGUAGAGUGGGUGUAUAGGAGAAAUAAUUCAGGUGUCAAUCUCAGUGUGUGGCUGUUGUGCACAGAUUAAAUGCUGAAAGAUCUCAGUCACUAGACCAAAAUGGUUGACUGGAUUUGAGUCUCACCUAUGCUUAGAUAGUAUAUGUUUUGUCCAUAAAAGGAUCUCCGGAACCACUUUAAGCAUGUAAGUGUAUCCAUGCUCAAAAACCCCAGUGUACCCCACUACAAGACAUUUGAGUUUGAGGAGUCCUAAGGUAAUUGCUUCAUUUUUCUUCAAUGAUAAAAAUGUGUAACUCACACAGAGGCAUGGUCUUCCUCUUUUUGGUCUGACACAUUCUCACACCGGGUGUAGCUGUGUGCAGCUUCUCAUCCUAACCUCUCGGGUUUCCCUGUCUCAGUUGGGGAAACGGUUGUCCUAGCUAAGCUCCAUGUAGUGGUAGGGAGUAUUUAAGAUGUGUUGUAUUAUCUGCUCAUUGCUCUGUGUGUAUUCACUUUCCUUUGCAGUAAUCCCUGGCUCUGCACUGAGUAGGUCCUCCGCCCCAAGCUUUGCUAAGGGACCAGGCUUUAUGGGUACAACGAGUACCCCAAUGCUGAGGCUAUGUGGACCCCACCCUACUAUGUUUUCUAAAUAUCAUGUUCUCUGCAUAAUAUGUAUUAACCAAAGAAUAUAUGUAUUUCACUGCUGCUCUAACCUUUCUAUACUUGCUGUGAGACUAAAUGGGCUACUUGCUUAUUUGUUUGUGCUUGUGACUAAAAUCAUGCUAAUUUAUUAUGUGGCAUUUUUGUUGUGAUGAUUUGACCAAUAUGACCAUUGAUAUUUGCUUUUUUAAAUACACUUGUUGAUCAUUGUUGUUCACUAUCACGUUUAUGCUCUGUUGUAGUAUUGACUAACUGACAACAAACACCAAUGUGUUUCCAAUGUCAGGGCAUUGUUCCAUUUGCAGUUAACCAAUAUACAUGUUAUUAUUUAAAAUUAAUCAAAUUUUGUAUCAAGAACAUAAAUGUAGGCAUUUAUCAAAGCGGUGUGUGCUACAGUCUUACCUCAGUACAUACGUGUAAGCCUUCCCUGAUAGUAAUGUUGGCAAAAUACUUCCAUGUAUGCGUGAGGCAAAAUACUACCGCUUUCCGACUGAACUAUCCAAAGUCUUAAUAUUGUAUCUUUCCACUGGUAAAAUGAUCUUGCUGGCUGCUUACGUAUGACUUCUAACCUGCACUUACUGUAUCUGUUUCUCUCUCUUUCUCUUUAGCUUCUUUUAAUCUGUCUUGGCCACCUGUCUGAAGAGGGGAUUGCAGCUUCAACAAGAACUAAGCACCCAUUCCUCUCUAGAACUAAGACCUCUUCCUGUCUUUCUCACUGCAUCAACCUUUUUUAACUUCCAUCUCAUCUGCUUUAUUGAAUAUGGCCUUAUGUGGGCUUCACAUGGUAUUUAAUUUUUUUUAUUCAUGUUUUGCCACCAAAUAACUGUACACUUCAGCAAGUAGUAGGCCUGUACAAAUACAUUUACGGCCGUGGUGAAUAUGAACAAAGCUGUGUCUAUGCAUGUGCUUAAAAUUUUUGUAGAAGAUAAUCACGGCUAAUUAAUAUAUGUUCAUGAACCAUUUGGCUACUGCCAAGGGUUCCUCAAUAAUUUUGCAUUACAUAAAUUUUUGGGACAAUCAUAGUUGUCAAUUUGCCACCAGAGACAAGGGCACUGUUUCAUAAAUUCUUCAUACUCUUCAAAAAGGUAGUUUUCCCUCAAAGAUUUAACAAAUACUAGGCCCAAAGACAUACUUGUGUUGUUAAAGUUAAACACAUUUACUGUUAAAUAUUUCUUAGGAAAUUCUGUCCAAAGUUAUCUACUUUGUACCAUCAUUGCUAUCCAAAUUAAGAUAACACAUAGCCUAUGUAUUCCUUCUCAUUUUUUUAUUAUGCCUUGCUGGAUUUCUGGAUGUCUUGAAGAUACUUGGUGACAAAAGACAAACGUUUCCCAUGAUUAAAUACCAUGUAGGUCACAUUUAAUGCUCCUUACACAUUGUGCAUUAAUUCUCAGCAGCCAAUUCUGUAAUAUGCAUGUCUUAUAUGAUUUAUUUAGUUUUUAUCAUGUGAACUUGACUUUUCCCUCCAUUGUUGUUUUCAUCCAUUACAGAUCUGUUUUGCACUCUUUCUUAAAUACUCCUUUUGUUUGACCGGUGCUUAUCUUGUGUGUUCUUUCCAAGUAUGCAUACUUUUGCUCUAUCCACAAAUUUUAGCACCCAUAUUGCCAAAUAUUAUAAUGAGAUGGAGUUUAAUUCCAGAUGUGGAAAAACAGAAAGAUACUCAUGCAUUUGUAUAAUUUAUAAGGAUAUAUUUUGUGUAUUGAAGUGGAGACCUGUUGUUUAUGAAAUAUGAUAUUUGGACGUGA